ensembl:lncRNA
UUUUUUUUUUAUUGCAACUUCAUCCUCACCUGUGAAAUGUGAACAGCAGCACCUGACCCACAGCCUCACCCCGAGGCUCAAAUUAGGUCAUCCGUGGGCAGCACUUGGCAGAAUUCCAACAAUAACCAUCGCCAGCACCCUCGUUUCCUUUCUUCCUGCUGAAACACAUCUCCCAGCAGUUCUUUCAGAAAGUAACAUCCCCUGCCUCCUCCUCACCCAACUUGGAAGACUUUAGGAUCUUCUCUGUAUCAUCGUUUUGCACUGCGGAUUUGGUGUGUGUGAGGUGGGGGAGUUGUCUGCAUUGAUCCUGCUCAGCACCUGGUGGUCUCUCCUGGCGAGGUUAGUUUACCCCCGACUGUCUCUCGGAACCCCAGAAGAUGGAUGCCGGGGCUCUCAGAUCUGCAGGCCCCGUCUCAGCUCGUCCUGGGUGCUCUGUCCCUUCGCCUCCAUUUUAGUAGAAGCUUCAGCUCCCGCCCCAGCCCCCUGGCUGCCCCACGGCAUCUCCAGUCUUCACGCCGCCCAGCCACAGACACGUUUGGUUUGUUCCUAAUGACUAUUUAAAUCCCAGGCCUCUCAGUUUCUCCGACACACCCUCCGUCUCACUUCCCAGGACUCCAGUCCUGCGUUUCAGACCCUCUCCGCUGGCUCCACUGACUUUUGUUCUCGUGGAGGCUCACAUCCCUUGGAAACUGGGCGAUGUGUGACGGUGAGCUCACCUUAGCUGCGGCUUCUCCCAUGAGGCCCCUGCUGGGUCACCUGCCACACCCUUGGGGGCGACUCAGCCUCUCGCGACCGAACCUCAGUCACCUCUGCGCACUCUUCACAAAUCAGCCUGUCCUUGGCCGGCUGAGCCCAGCUCAUCAAGAAUCCACCUCCCCCAGGACUUCCCUGGUGGCGCAGUGGCUAAGACUUUGCGCUCCCAAUGCAGAGGGCCCAGGUCCCACGUCUAGUCAGGGAACUAGACCCCACAUGCCAGAACUAAGACCCAGCACAGCCAAAGCCAAUGGGCGUGAAUCGGAACACACUCUGGGAGAUGGUGAAGGACAGGGAAGCCUGGCAUGCUACAGUCCAUGGUGUUGCAGAGAGUGGGACACAGCAUGGUGACCAAACAACAGCCAAGCAAACAAAUAAAAAGAAUCCCCAACUCCCAAUACCCAGCCGAGCUCCACGUCUCCCACCUGGGAUACGUGCCGCGUCCCUCUAACCUUCCAUCCGUUCCCUCACCCUGCCCGCCUGUCCCUGUGUUUUCAGAGUUGAGCCCAGUCUCUCUCUUCUAUUGCAAUAGUCUUGAAUAAAGUCUUCCUUGUCCAGGUUAUUUUUUUUUUUUUCUCUUUUACAAAAGGAAGGCUAAAGGCUGAGUCUUCAAUCUCCAGUAAGAGUGGAAGGGCAGAUCAUGCCUGGUGGAGGUUAUUGGGUCCAGACCGGGCUUGAGUGCUCCAUACCCCUCCCAGAGCCACCAGACACCCGGACAUGCCCUGCCUUUUAAAACCAAGAUCCCACAGUCGCUGAUCCUAGUUUAGACAGACCCUUAAUCACUGAGGUUGACCCCAGGUUGGGGGGGCAGGGCAGGGGGCAAGUGCAGCCAAUCAGUGCCCAGGUGAGAAAGCUUCAUUUACACACAAGCAUCCCCUUCAUAAGACAUCAAGGAAACGGCUUGCGUAGGGUGGGGGCAAGCCCUUAUGGAACUGAGGGCCCUUUCCGUGCCCUGAGCAAAAGCAUGUCUGAUUUCUAGGUUGUCCCACACCCAGGGACGGCUUUGUCUGCCACCCACAGAGCAGAUGUCCCCACUCACUGUUGUGAGAAAGCUGCGGCCACAGACAGAAUGUGGAAACAGUCUCCAGGUGGAGAACAUCCGGGGGUUGGGGGGAUGAGACAGGGUGCAGGAGAGGGUAAAGGGACCAGUGCAGGGAGCACAAGUUUGGAGAACUUCCGCCCUUUAUUUGGCACUUCCUUUUUAAAAAGAAAAUGUUUAUAACCCAGGAAACCAAGAGAAGAACCAAACAUAAAAAACUGCCAUGCCCCACAAUCAAAGGCCAAUUGCAAUGCAUCGAAUUUGUGCACAGAAGCAAAGAAAUUGUUCCUGAAAAAAAAAAGUGCAAAUUGCUGGUUCGCUGCAUGUCCUGCUCUCAAACCUCCUAUCCCCAAGUGAAAGUCAAGGCCUAACAGCUCGCCCUGCACUCAGUGCUGCCAACAUCUCUCCAUCAGCAAAAUCAACAGGAAACCUAAGAACCUGGGGGAAGUCAUGCAGACAUGUCACACUGCUCCGAAUACAUAAAGACCUUCUGAAAGCCAGUAAGAGAAGGCCCACAAGCCAGCAGAAAGAAAGUUUCAAACAAGACAAAACAUUAGAAAAUAAAACCCACUGAGUCUUAAGCACAUGAAUGGGAUCUUUAAAUCACUCACAUAAGAAAUGUGCCCUAAAGCUCCCGGAAUAGGACUUGGGGAACCAAAGAGGAUGGAAGCGGCCUGGGU